GAUGAAGAACGUAUCGAAAUGCGAUAAGUAAUGUGAAUUGCAGAAUUCAGUGAAUCAUCGAAUCUUUGAACGCACAUUGCGCCCGCCAGUAUUCUGGCGGGCAUGCCUGUUCGAGCGUCAUUUCAACCCUCAAGCCCAGCUUGGUGUUGGGGAUCGGCACAGGCGCCCUCGGGCGCCCGCCGUCCCCUAAAUCUAGUGGCGGUCCCGCUGCAGCCUCCUCUGCGUAGUAGUUUUCUCCUCGCAAGGGCAGCUCGGUGGCGACCUCGCCGUAAAACCCCCAACUUCUGAAAGGUUGACCUCGAAUCAGGUAGGAAUACCCGCUGAACUUAAGCAUAUCAAUAAGCGGAGGA
rnacentral:misc_RNA from 1 species